UCAUACGCUUUAUAAUCCACUAAACAUCUCAAAACCAAGAAAAUUAGUAGAAAAACAAAAAAAGACAUACUAUAUCCACAACACUAAUAUGUAAUAAUGAAACAAAAAGAGAAGGGGAUAUAUGUUACAGGUUUUUGGUAGAAAUAGAAGAGGGAAGGACCCAAAAACUUUUGUCUUUUCGCCAACACCUCAUCCGCCAAUGGCCCUUUAUAUGCCUUUGGUUGGUACUCAAACGGUGGCAGUUCCGGUGGCGCCACCGUUUGCCCGGAAAAACGUCUCAACGUACCCUCGUAGGAUAACCACCCAUACUUUCCACAUCCACUUAGUAAUUUCCUCUGUAACGCCAUACUUGUUGAUCACAAAAACACACUAGCUAACACACACAUAUAUGUACACAGACACGUACUCAAAUAGUUUUAGUUUCCCUUUUUU